UUUUCUAUGUUCUGUGAUUUCAGAGGUGAAACCCCAGCUGAGGAGGCAAAUAUACUCAAGGAAAGUAAUAGUUUCCAAAUGCCUGGCAGUGCCAGGAAGGGGCCAUGUCCAUGGACCACUAUGUAAGGAUAUCUCAGUCUCUAGUCCAGCGUGGUUUAUGGUGCCAAAUAAGUGCCAGGUGAACUCACUACAUCUGACAAAAUCUCAAGGAACCAAGUUUACCAGAUAAUAUUUAUGAUUAUGUGAAAAAGACUGAGGAAAUCACUCAAGUGAUCCAUCAUACAGCACCUCCAGUUCCAAAGAAUACUGACUUACUUCAGCUGUACUGGUCUGGAGCUGCACAUUCUUUUCAGACAACUCUUGUUCCAGCUAGAGUGCAGUGGUGCAACCUCAGCUCACUGCAACCUCCGCUUCCCAGGUUCAAGCGAUUCUCCUGCUUCAGCCUCCCUGGUUGCUGGGAUUACAGGCGCUCAUCACCAUGUGCAGCUAAUUUUUUGUAUUUUUAGUAGAGACAGGGUUUUACUAUGUUGCCCAGGCUGGUCUCGAACUCCUGACCUCAGGUGAUCCACCCGCCUCAGCCCCCCAAAGUUCUGAGAUUACAGACGUGAGACACUGCACCCGACCAGGGUGUUCAUUUUCUAAAAUCUUAAGUUGAAUGCCUUUUUAAAAAAA
rnacentral:antisense_RNA from 1 species